rnacentral:rRNA from 1 species
AGAGUUUGAUCCUGGCUCAGGAUGAACGCUGGCGGCGUGCCUAACACAUGCAAGUCGAGCGAUUCUCUUCGGAGAAGAGCGGCGGACGGGUGAGUAACGCGUGGGUAACCUGCCCUGUACACACGGAUAACAUACCGAAAGGUAUGCUAAUACGAGAUAAUAUGCUUUUAUCGCAUGGUAGAAGUAUCAAAGCUUUUGCGGUACAGGAUGGACCCGCGUCUGAUUAGCUAGUUGGUAAGGUAACGGCUUACCAAGGCGACGAUCAGUAGCCGACCUGAGAGGGUGAUCGGCCACAUUGGAACUGAGACACGGUCCAAACUCCUACGGGAGGCAGCAGUGGGGAAUAUUGCACAAUGGGCGAAAGCCUGAUGCAGCAACGCCGCGUGAGCGAUGAAGGCCUUCGGGUCGUAAAGCUCUGUCCUCAAGGAAGAUAAUGACGGUACUUGAGGAGGAAGCCCCGGCUAACUACGUGCCAGCAGCCGCGGUAAUACGUAGGGGGCUAGCGUUAUCCGGAAUUACUGGGCGUAAAGGGUGCGUAGGUGGUUUCUUAAGUCAGAGGUGAGAGGCUACGGCUCAACCGUAGUAAGCCUUUGAAACUGGGAAACUUGAGUGCAGGAGAGGAGAGUGGAAUUCCUAGUGUAGCGGUGAAAUGCGUAUAUAUUAGGAGGAACACCAGUUGCGAAGGCGGCUCUCUGGACUGUAACUGACACUGAGCACGAAAGCGUGGGGAGCAAACAAGGAUUAGAUACCCUGUAGUCCACGCCGUAAACGAUGAGUACUAGCUGUCGGAGGUUACCCCCCCUUCGGUGGCGCAGCUAACGCAUUAAGUACUCCGGCCUGGAGAAGCUACGCUCGCAGAGUGAUACUCAAAGGUAUUGACGGGCGCACCCGCACAGUAGCGCAGCAUGGUUGUUUAAUUACGAAGCAACGCGAGCAUCUUACUGUCGUUGGACAUCCUUAAUUCGGGCGAGG